GCUAAUGAGCGCUUCUGUGGUCUCUGUGGUCCUUUUGACAUAUUUGUUAUCUCUCCUUGCUCACUCUUUUAUUAUUUUCAUUAAGCCAGUCACUUUCUAGAACUGCUUCUUGUUAAUAAAAAUGCAGUUUUGUUCGAUUACAGUAUUUCUUAAGAAUUCUACAGGGACAAGUUCACUCAAAGUAAUUUUUUUCAGUGAUAAUUUAAGCAGUUUUCUUUUGCACAAUGUCUAUGAUUAUAUGCUUAUAUAUUUCUCUUUAACAGUAAGUGUAUUUCUGCUUCUGUACUACUUGUCUGAUGCUUCUGUCUUCCUGCUGAAAGCCCUAUAAAUGGGUGAAUGUAAAUACUGGAAUUUGUUCUAAAGAUUGGUGGAAAAUAGCAAUGAAACUGGUGUCUGCUUUGAUUAGUCCAUUGCUAUACUUGGUCUGAUUGGAUACUAAUUCCUUAGGGAAAACUGUUGAAAUCCACGGGGAGCCCUGCUUGUGAAGGAUGACGUGCCAUGUCCCCCGGCACUGGGAAGCCUCUGGGGACAGUGACGGUGCCCAGGGAUGGGCGCGGGAGCGGGAGCGACGGGCGACUUUUGCUGGCUUUCCACAGGACUGCCCCGUCCCGGUGCUGGCUCUAGCACAGGCUGGCUUUGUUUAUACUGGAGAAGGUGACAAAGUGAAGUGCUUCAGUUGCCAUACAACUAUUGAAGGAUGGAUGCCUGGGGAUUCUGCAGUUGAGAGACACAAACAGCUUGCCCCCCACUGCAAGUUUAUUACUGAAUCUGCUUUUCUGGAGAGUGACAUGGAUCCUGUUACCCAGAACAGAACUGAAAACGGUACCAGCAAUUCAGCCCUCCCAGGUGCUCUGGAUGAUCCUGAUGUGGAGGCAGAUUACCUUCUGAGAACUAGGCAGGUUGUGGAUAUGUCAGAUAGUUUGUAUCCUAAAAACCCUGCUAUGUGCAGUGAAGAAGCAAGAUUAAAGUCUUUUCACAACUGGCCCCUCAAUGGCCAGUUGACACCACAGGAAUUAGCUAAUGCUGGAUUUUAUUAUACAGGUGUUGGUGACCAAGUAGCAUGUUUUUGUUGUGGUGGAAAAUUGAAGAACUGGGAACCCGGUGACAGAGCUUGGUCAGAACACAAGAGGCAUUUUCCGAAAUGCCUUUUUGUCCUGGGCCGGGAUGUAGGAAAUGUUUCAAGUGAAUCUAUUCCUUCUGAGCUUGGUAUAAGUGGUCUGAACAAUGCCCAGCACCCAAGGAAUCCCUCUAUGGCAAAAUAUGAAAAACGUUUACAAACAUUUUUAUCUUGGAUUUAUCCUGUUGACAAGGAGCAACUUGCAGAAGCUGGGUUCUAUAGCAUAGGUAAUGGUGAUCACGUUGUGUGUUUCCACUGUGGUGGAGGAUUGCAAGAGUGGAAGGAAAAUGAAGACCCUUGGGAUCAACAUGCCAAAUGGUUUCCUGGGUGCAGAUUUGUGAGCAAUGAAAAGGGGAUAGAAUUUAUAAAUAAUGUUCACUUAAAAGAUGGAUAUAGGGAUUCAACAACAGAAGCUGCUGAAGGGACAAUAAUUCCUAAAGAUGGUCUCUUACAGAAUCCUUUGGUACAAAGUGCCAUAGCCAUGGGUUUCAGUUUGUCUGAGAUUAGGAACACCAUGGAAAAGAGAUUGCAGAUGACUGGAGAAAGUCACACAUCUGUUGAGGAUCUGGUAGCAGACUUAAGUGCUCAUAAAGAAAAUACAAGGGAUGAAGAACCAAAUGAAAUCCCAGUUGAGCAAGAUGAGCUUAUUCAGUUACAAAACCUCUACCUCAGUACUGAAGAGAAGUUAAGACGUUUGCAGGAGGAAAAGCUCUGUAAAAUCUGUAUGGCUAAGGACGUGUCAGUUGUCUUCAUUCCCUGUGGUCACCUAGUUGCCUAAAUGUAAAUACAGUGGAUGGUUGGAAUUGAAUCAUCACUGGGUGGAGGUUAAUGCAGGCACUUGAAUAUGGUGUUCAUGUGAGACCCAGCUGAAGUGGUGUUCCAUGGAUGGAGCAUUGCCAGGGACAGUGACCUUUGCUGCUGUGGUCUUCAGGAGCUACUUGGAACAGACUCUGCCUUAAGGGUGUGCAAGUUCAAGCGCCUGAUGUGUGAAGGUCAGCUCUUCACAGAGCAGAGGCAGCUGGAGGUUUCUCUGGCUUUUGCAGGGUUUUUCUGCAGCAGUGAGGAUCUGAACAGUGAGUUGUUCCACGAUGUUCUUUGUUACCCUCUGCCUUGUGCAUGGCUGUCAGCAAGGCCAGGUGCCAGAGAAGCUGGAGAGGUGCUUCCAGUGCUGCCCCUGAGGCUUCUCCCUGUUGGUCUUGUGCAGAGCAGGAUUGGCCUCGUGGCUCGUGAAGGGUGCUGGCCCCUUCUCCACAGGGUCAGAUGGGAAGAGCCAAUCUACCCACAUCCACCUUAAUUCCUCAUGGAAAUGAAGUAUGAGUGAAUACUCUCCCUCCCACCAGUUUUUUGUGUGCUUUACAUGCAUUAAGUUUUACUGAGUAGCUUGAAAACUUGAUCAAGGAAAGCUUUCCUCCCCCCUGCUCCUGCCAUGGCUUCACACUGAUUCAGGCUGUUGAAAGUACCUUCUCAUCUCGGCAAAUGUGUCAUGUCACUGUGUCAUGUCACUUCAAGAGCUCUACUGACGCUGCUGUACAGCAACUAAUGUGCUGUAAUUAUAAUGUGGCUUUCUGUGAGAAGGCAAAAUGGCUUGUGAUGAUAAACAAUCUGUGUUGAAAUUCAGAUUAUAUCUUCAAUUUUUUCUUAACUGUUAAUUCCUAUUAAGCAAUAGUGACAACAUUACAGUACAUCUAUAAGUGUUAACUAAAGAACAUGCCUCUGUAACUAACUUCCCAAAAAACUUGCUUUUUCCUAGAACAGGAAAGAAGAUGGUAUAUAUUAAUUUAUGAAUGAUUUGGAUAAACAAAACCUCAAGAAAAAUCUGGAACAAAAUUAUAUUAAUUAUAUUGUGAGUCUAUAAUAUUUAAAGCUGAUCAAAAACUAUUUGGUUGCCUUUAGAUAAUUACUAAUUUAAGGAUAGCUAUUGUAUUAGCUGAGAUAAAUUUCUUUAUAAGUAAUAAUUGCUGGAAAUGCAUUGGAGAGACUGGAAUUAGUUUUGCUCUCAAACUGAAAAAUGGUGCUUACUAUCAAAAAAUGAAAAGCACAUUUUCAGAGUCCUACUGUGAAGAAUCAUUACAAUAAUUGCUAAAAAGCCAGGUUUAGUAUAAGUGCGUAUGGUCACCUUCAGAUUUUGGAGAGUGAAUUAUUAUAACCUUCAAAGAUUACCAAGACAGCAUUUAAAUCUAUUCAUGUUAUGUCUUUUUGAUUUUAUAUUGUUAGAUCUUGCUGUAAAACUCUUGAAACAAUUUCUCUUACGUAACUUCAUUUUGCAGUGUGUGAUGAGAGUCACCACUUAAGCCAAAUAGUUCAUCUUCUGAAUGCAGGCUUUUCCAAGGUGGGUGUCAAGCCACAGCAUCUCUUCCUUUUAACUCUUGUGCUGCAGAGGGCUCAGUCUGAGUCCAGGACUGGCUUUAGCUCCCUGUCCUGCACACCCAACUGUGUGGUGUUACUGGAGUCAGUAUGGGAGCUCUGCCCGCAGGGUACAAGCACCAGAAAAGUUGCUUCAGAUGGGUGUUUUGCAAAACAGAUGUACCAAAAAUAACAAUUGGACACCUGCAUCACAAUUUAGGACUUUUAUAACUUCGUCAACAGUUGCUUUCUUAAAGGCCUAAUUGGCAAUUGCAUGUUUCUUUUAGGAAGACCCAUGUUCCAGGUUGGAAGUUUCACUUCUGCUAGGCCCACAGUUGGAACCAGAGGUGCAGGGAAGGGAGAAGUGGGGGCUCCCUGGGGGAGUGAGAGUGGGACUUGCUGUGCUCGGUGUUUAUGGUGAGCAUCCCAGGUGUGCCCUUUGCCACGCAGGGGAAAACACUUCCUUCACAGCUGCUGGCACUUUGCAGGACUGCUACUGUUACUCAAAAAAGUUACAGUCUGAAAGAAGUAUUUUUAUCUUAACGGUUUUGAACAUCUGUGCAAUCCCCCAACAAGUCAUAAACUGUUGUAUUCCUUGCUACUUGUUAUGCAUUGUGCCAUUUACAAAAACCCUUAAUCUCAGCUAAUGACACCAUCACACUUUGCUUUGCUUCCACCACCCACUGUGUCAGAGUUGAGGCAGCAGAAAAGGCCUUGAGCUCCAGACACAACUGGCAGUAGGGGAGUGACUUAGGAGAAACACAGUCUGAAAGAAACCUUGAAGUUGGUUGAUGGUGAAAACUAAACCAAAGGAAGCUUGUGUUAGGGACAGAUAUUUAUAGAGGAUCUUGGGAAUGUGGUAGGUCAGCCCCAGAAAACCAUACCAGUUAAUCUGAGAGAGUUAUCUGUUCCUUGACCUUAUCUGUCAGUAACAACCCCCCACUGCCUAGACUUCCCCUUUAAGCCCCUGAGUUCCAGCCUCAGUAAUUCGUGGGGUAAAGACAAGGUACAUCAUCCAAAUCUUGUGUUUGCCUGCACAUACAGAGGAGUGCUGUCCCAUAUAUUUGAUAGGGAAUUUUCUUCAGAGCUUAAACACAAAACUAUUUUGUGUUUAACAACAACUUUGUUGUUCAUAAUUGUUUUGCUCUAUGAUCCUGGGCAGAGGUUGAGCUGAAUAAUGUUGUUUCUGUCUCACUUCCACUUUAAUUUCACCUAACCACAAGCCAGCCCCUUCUCCCCUUUUCAGGCAAGCCCUGGCUCCAUAUCAGAGUCUCAGGGGGGCUGGAGCCCUGUGAGCUCUGACCAGCUGAGAACUGCUUUGUGUUCCUGAUGGGUUGGGAGCCCUACACAUCCAGAGUAUGAUAUAAUUUCACAGCUAAAUCUGCUUGCCUUGCUUGGCAUCAGUUGUGCUGUUUGGCCUGCUUGACUUUAUCUUAGUCCCUGGCAGCCUCUUACCCCAGCCCUUUUUCUGUCACCCACUCUGUUCUUUGCUGCCUUUAAGGAGGCCCUUACCUGGCUUACCCAGUUUGAAACAUGUUUCUCUGGUUCCUGUGCUUCCUCCUCAGACUUUGUCACUGAUGCUGUCACAGUGCCUGACUCAUAAAAUGGACCUUGAUUCAUGGUUCCUCUGCCUGGACUUAGCUACAGAACACAAAUAAUGUCUUGCCUAUCUUCAAAAACUUCCCUACAUCUGGAAACUGGAGCACAUUGUGUCCAGAAUCCAAGAGAGGUGGCCUGAUUGGUAUUCCUGUGCCUAGGGUGAGGUGAUGCCUCAGGUGAAAGUGACUUGUCCUGACUGCAGCCAGGAGAAGGGCUUUUCACUAUUUCCUACCAAAACUGGUGUGGCCUUUACAGCAGUUUGCUGAUGGAACUUCAGAAUCUGCUGUCUUAAAGAAUGAGACAUAGAAAGAGUACCUCACUCAAACAGGGGAGCUCAGGGCUUUGGGUAACAAGUGGCACAGGGGGCUGAGUAAAGCUGCUGCUCAUAAUGCAAUUAGCAGGAAGGCAUCUGCAACUUCCUGGGAUCCUGUUCUUGUUUAGAGCUGCUGAUGAAGGGGAGUUAAAACUUCCUUUCUUUGUAGUGGUAUGGGACAAACUGUGAUCCUGUGCCCCUUCACAGAAGGAACAGGCAGAAUCUUAUUGAAUCAAAGAAAAUUCAGACACAAGCUGGGUGUUCUGGAAAGACCUGGUGAGAAAUAGGGGCACACAAGGGAGACUUACAUAAAUGGAAAAAGGAAGAAAUUAUUCACAGAGCACGGAAAGACCUAAGGAGCUACUGAUGUGCAAUCUCCUGCAAAUUAUGGGAAAGUAACCCAUUUUUUGGUCUUUAUUUUUGUUUCUUAUGUAAUAGCUCAUCUUCAAAAGGAUUUAGAGCAGAUUUCCCUGGAGUGACUAAGCCAGAUUCAAAAUCUGGGGGAAAAAAAUUGACUGGGAAGACUGCUUUUUCCCUCUGCACCCAUCUCAACACACAAAAGUACGGUCAGGGCUUAUUCAAUACAGGCCAUCAAAACUACCACCUCACCUUGGGUGAUCCAGUAUACAAAUUCUGGUUUCUUUCUUCAAUUCUCAAAAGAAAAGUCUUUAAAUAAAUAAAUGAUUGUGGGUGGUGGUGUGUUGGUGGUGGCUUUUUUUGUUGUUGUUGUUUGUUUGUUAUUUUGGUUUUUUGUUGUCUGUUUUUGAUUGGUUGUUUUGUUUAUUUGGGUUUUUUUAAUAAUACAAAUGAGGAAAUGGAACAGCAGAGGGGCUUCCUAUUCUUCAGGAGAAAGAAAAGGAAGAAGCAUGAAAAGAAAGGAAGCAGCAUGAGCAUGAAUCUCCUGCCUGGGAAAAUGAAUCAGCCAUCUGGCAGCUUGAGUUUAUUCUGAUCUUCUCUUGUGGUGAACCUCUGGCCAUUAAUUCAGACACAGAAUUGGUAUCUGCCCUCUCCCUGCUCUGUUUCCUGUGUCACUGAUCAUGAAGCUCUCUUUGGAUCAAGCAUAAUAACAGUGCUUGUAAAGUCUUUGUUAAAUCCUCUCUAAAUUGGGCUCAAUAUCAGAAAUGGUGGAAUUUGAAGCACCUAAAGAGUAGCUUUUCUGAAAAAGAUGACAUAGUCCUGUGAAAUACUUUCUCCUAGUUUUUCACAGAACUUCUUUUCUAUCAGAUAUAAAUCCUUUCUAGACAGGUCAGAAUUUAAAAUAUCUCUUUUUCUUUAUAAUGCUUAGAUAGCACUUGUUUUGCUUUUACAUUUUUCAUUGUAUUGGAAAGGAUGCUAGUAUGGUAAAACUGUAUAGAAACUUCAGGAUGGUCUUGUUUUUUUCCCCAAAGUCUGAACUGAUGGUAGAAGCCCACUCUGGAACUGGUAGCUUAGAAAGAAGUGAUGGGCUUGCAGAGGAACUGCUUUUCAUCAUCUUCCCUGUUGUACCAAAUGGAAGGCUCAGUCCCAGAAGCACGAUCUCUUCAUGAGGAAAAUGCAGGAGUCAGGCUCUUCAGAGAGCCAGUUUGGCCCCCUUAAAGGUGAGGAAUCCUCACAGGGCUCAGUUGACUUAAGAAAUUUCUGUCUUCUGGUCACUGGAGCAGAGCACAAACUUUCCUGGCCUCAGCACAGCUCUCAGCACCUUCAGCUGUGCUGACCUCAGUGCUCCUGCAGCUGUACUGGAACAGCUCAGAGAAUGAUCUGGGCUGGGGGUGGGAAUCAAACCUUAGAGAACAAACGUCUAUCUCCCCUUCUCCGAUGAGGCAACAGCUUUGCUAAGACAGGGCUGAGCAAACAGCUGAAUGGAACAACUGUGAGGGAGGAAAUGGAGCUGGAGAGUGCGAAAUCCUCUUAGGCAGGCUCUGUGACCAGGGGCUUGCAGUGUGCUGCUGCACCUGCAGUCUGGUCUCUAGAGUGCUUCCAUGUUUUGUCACAAGCAGAAAAAAGCAAAUUCUGUCCUGUGAGUCAGGACACCCAGAAGUGUUAUGGAUCUGGGCUUCCAAAGCCUGAGUCAGCUUUGGGAAUGGGCUGAGCUCUGCCAUGGUAUUGUCAGCGCUUGCACACUCAUUCCUUCAAAACCACACCUGAAAAACUGUGUCAUGUUUGCUUCACAUUAGGUAAGCACAUUUACCUAAAACCUCUCAGCUGUGAGCUCAAGUGUGAGCUGCAGUGAUUUUGGAAUAGAACAGAAUCCAUGUGCUGUACAUGUAUUUCAUGCACAGCUGGCUGGAGCUGCCUCGUGUUCCUGCCAGCUCCUGCAGUAAACUGCAAUAACCUUGCAAAGUUUUGGAUUGGAGUUUUAGUAUGAGUUAUCCCUGUUGUAUCUCAAGCAGAAGACACAUUACUGGAAUUCUUUGUGCAGGCAAAAUGUUGUAGUUUAUUUUUAUGGAAAGGUUGUCUAUAUGGCAGCUGUCAGAAGUUGACUUUGUAUGGGAAAGGCACAAAUGGAUCCAGCUCCUUUCCAUGUAUUCUUAAAUGUCGUUUUGUAACAAUAUAGUUAAUUUUUAAGGCUUACAUUAAGUGUGGUAUUUUUAAUACACAAUUCUUCUACAUUUUCCAGACGCUAUCAGAUUAACAUGAAAGAUCAUCAGCAGCACCUGUAGCUGUAAUUGAAACCGUGAACAUGGUUGUACAACUGGGCAUUCAGGAUGCUAUUUUAGUGUUCCCUACAAGGCAGUCUUUCUUUUUUUUGUUUCCCCUGAACUUGACAGAAGGUGCAAAACUAUUCUGAAAUGUGAGUUCAAGCUACAGAAUAGAAUUUAUUUUUGUAAGCCUGUCUCAUGUACCGACAGAUUGUAUCUAGAAUUCCUAGGUGUCAUCAAUUUACAUUGCACCGGCUUUGUUUUUUUCUUUUUUUUUUUAAUUUUGUUUUUAGAUCACGGUUUCCAUUGUAAGCGUUAUUUUCUCUGCGGGAUGCCUCAUCUUAGUUUUGAAAAGACUGGAGCUGGUGGAUCCUCUUCUCUUAAAUACCCUGCCUUUGUUAGGCAGGUGAGCAGAGGAACUCGGUUUAGCGACUGCUUAGUUAUGCUAACGCUGUCCCCAAAAUUAUAAGUAGAUAAACACAAGAGAGUGAUUAGAGCCUAAUUACCAGCACAAAACUAUUAUUGUGCAGACUGAUCUAAAUAUAAUCGUACGUGGAACUAUUCAGCAUGAGCAAUGUGCUUAGCAUUACACAAUAAGGUGAAAAAAAACCCAAAAAAACAGGCGUCACAAACUGCAUAUUUGGUUACUUUAGGAAUUCUGUAGUGGCUAUAGGGAUCGCUUCAGAUUCG